GGAGAGCAUGCAGCAUUUAUUACAAAGCCAGGAGAUACAAAUGGCCCAGGGCAGGAGGAGGGGACAGCCACAGCACCUCAGACACACAACAGGGUGCAAAUACAGACAAACCCGUCAGGGGCUCCCCACCCCAAAAACCCAGGUUAUCAAAGAGUCUUGCCUCCUCCCCGAUCUGCUCUAUGUACAGUGGAGGAAAAACAGGUGGGCAGGGAUCUGGUGGGGUCUGCCCCCAGGGGACAAACCACUGACCUCUCGGGAUGAAGGGGAGGUCAGAGCUUACAGGCUUCUGUCUUCUUGUGCUUUUAAAAGCCUCUGCCACUCUUUCCUAACUCAGCCUCAGCUGAGGGUGGCGAGGGAACUAGAGGGCUGUGUGCCUUUGGCAAAAUCUGGGGUCUGUGCUUAUCCGACAUUAACCCCGCUUCGUAAAGCAACAUUUUAAAGACAGCAUAACAGUCAUAAAUCUGUUUAGAACAUACUACACAACAGCUAACUAGAAAAUGCAAAUAUUCAAGAAAUUCCAGGAGGACUAAUAAAAACAUAGUUGGAGUCUUCAAUAUGCCUCAUUCAGGAUUAAACAACUCUAGUAAACUAAAAAUAAAAAGCCCAUGGCGAACUUUAAUAAUACAAACAAGAAAAAAUAAAACAUGCAUAGUCACAUCUUUACAAAUAUAAAAAUUUUGCGUAUAUGUGGAACAUUUAUGAAAAUACAUGAACUCAUCUACAAAGAAAACUUUAACAAAUUUAAAUAGCAGAGAUCACAUUUUCUGAUCAUAAUCCAAUAAACAUGGAAAUUAAUAGUAAAAAUGUGGCAAGAAAAUUACUUGGAAACUGAAAUAUAUUCUGAGCUAACAUUGAGAUCAAAAAAGAAAUCAAAGGGAAAUUAAUAACUACCUAGGAAGAAACAAAAAAUGAUUAUUUGAUAUCAAAAACUAUAAAAGAUGACAAAAGCUGUUCCCCAAGAAUAUUACAUAGACAUCGUUAUUAAGAAGAAAGGUGGAAGGAAGAAAGGAGGGAGGGAGGAAGCAAGGAAGAAAGCAGAGAGAGGGAGGCAGGGAGGACCUUAUUAUUCAUCAUACAAAAUAAGAGAGAAAGCAGUUCUUAGGAUUACUUACUUUGGGUCUUCUUUAUAAGCUUAUUCAAAGCAUGUAUAAUGGAUCAGAACCUUGGUUGUAUACAUAACCAACAAAAUUUGCCUUGUUAAAAAAAAAAAGAAUCCUGAUAUG
rnacentral:lncRNA from 1 species